rnacentral:rRNA from 1 species
UACGGAGGGCGCGAGCGUUGUCCGGAAUCACUGGGCGUAAAGGGCGCGUAGGCGGCCCUGGUAAGUCUGCGGUGAAAGCCCGGGGCUCAACCCCGGGUCGGCCGCGGGUACUGCCGGGCUGGAGUGCCGUAGGGGCAGGCGGAAUUCCGGGUGUAGCGGUGGAAUGCGUAGAGAUCCGGAAGAACACCGGUGGCGAAGGCGGCCUGCUGGGCGGCGACUGACGCUGAGGCGCGAAAGCGUGGGGAGCAAACAGG